AAUGACAAAAUAAUACAAGACAACACAUGAGACACAGACAAUCGUGCAAUUUUAACCACUUUCCUGCAUACACUUUGUUGUCUGAAGCAUGCAUUGUUUAUGAGUUCUUUGGGUUCAUUUCUACAAAUUUGGUGAUGAAGUUGGACAUUUUGCUGCCGACAAAUGCCCGACGUCAUGCAUCACCAGUCGACUGACUGGACCAUGAAGAUCACUUCUGUGAAGUCUGAAUGUGUCUCACGGGAAAACCUUCAUUUUUUUUUUCUCCAUAAUAUCUUAUGCCUCACUUUUUACAUUCAGUUGAAUUGAAGAUACAGCCAAGAAGUUUUGAAUCCUACUUUAUUUGGACACGUCCUGCUUUAAAUGCCUUAUUUUGUGCUGUAGGUUUUGUAUCUGUCUCAUGCAAUGGUUGCCCAAGUAUGAAGUGCUUCACUCACUCUUUUUAUUUUAUUUAUUUUUUACUCUGAAUCAAAACUUCGAUGUGCGAUUUCUGCAAAGCUCAAACAAAUGGAGGUUAAGAAGCCAACCGUUAAUUGAACAAUAUCCCACCACUCCAUUGACAUGAAGGUAGUUUUGAUGUGCGAUUGAAAGACUGCCAGAUUUGUUGUUUUUUUGUGUUGCUUUAUUCCAAAAAGGUCUUACUGACACUUCUCGUAUUCUACUGUGUUGUUGUACUCUAAAACUGACUAGAAUGUUUAAAUCGCCAUUAACUACUGUGAUUGUGACUCCAAAUGUGAAGGAAUAUUGGAAAUCUAUAUAAACAGGCUGUAAUUGCUGAACCAUUGUGAUGUGAUGUUAUAAUAUAUGACACAGAAAUUUUGUGUGCGAGUGUGUGUUUAAGAGAGAGGGAGAGAGAGAGAAAAAUUGCAGUUUUUUUCAGCUCUUCCUUAUUUGCGCGUAGAAUCAAUGCAUAUACAUGAAUAAAAGAGUGCAUGCCAUGUUCUUCAUUUGAAGUGUGUGUCCUCAAUUUGAGAUGCAAGAAGACCUGAGACAGUGACUAGAAAUGCAGCCUACAGUCCCACCCUCGCUGCCCAAUGCCAAGUGAACAGAGGCUUGGAACAGCAGGAGAAGAUGUGUUAACUCAGUUGAGCCAUUCUUCUGUAAGUAGUAGCUGGGGCGGGUAAGGGAGUUCUGACAGCACCACUUACAAACAGAGCUUGGCGGUUAUGUAAAAGGAUCGGCUUGUCAAUGAGCCGUAUUGGAUUCUCUCCUUUUUCAGUCCCGGUAAGUGGCGGGCUGCUUCCAUACACGUGGCAUGGCACGUGGAGGCCCUCGAUAGUUGUUUCGGCGAUGGGCCGUGUGCAGCCUGCGGGUUAAUGUGUGUGUGUGUGUGUGUGUGUGUGUGUGGGAGGGGGGCUGGUGGGUAGCGUUGACGGUUUAUGUCCAUAUGGUUGAUUUGGCAUACAAUCUCCAUCUCAGAUGAUUGGGAUUAGAUGUCAUCCAAUGGGUGAGUGUGAAAUACUAAUCGAGGGAGGGAGCGACCAUUGUAGGGAUUCGAGCCAAAGUGUGUUUGUGUAUAGUACCUCUCCACAUGUACACACACACACACACACACACACACACACACAUCUGGCUGUCAUCAUAGCAACCUGAUCAAACAUCCUCAAUCGCACAAAGCUCCUAUUUGCUUCGGCUUUACAAACGACUUUUACUGACUGCGGCUAAUACACUUGACAGUUUCAUGUGAUGAUCAAACAUCAGCAGCGGGGGACUCGAGACAAGACCGGAGGAUAAAACAGAGAUGGAUAAUGGUGGCGGCAGGAUUGCCGUUGAGGGGUAGAUUGCGUAACAUCUCAGUGAAUUGGACAUGCCUUUUACCUUGAUACUGGAACCACCGCGGUGGCCAAGAGC